AGAACCAGCACAUGGACAGGAGCGAGCACAGGGCCUGAGCGAGCGACUGGUCCCUCAUGAAGAGCUCGAUGAAGGUGGUGAGGUAGAGACACGACCGAGGAGCUUCAUCGUUCACCGUUGGGACAACAAUAGGCCUGUGUGCGCAGUGGGAGUGACCAUUCUCGAGUCCUACGCACAGGGAUGCAACACCGUCAGCUGCACUGCACACAUCUGGAAGGAGAAACAGAGGCAACAGUCAGAAUUAGGAGAUUUUUCGGCCUCAUUAAAUCCAAGGACCCGAGGACAAACUCUCCAGCAAUUGGCACACGAAAAUACUUUUCUCCGGAUGUAGCCUGGGAGGCAGGCCAACGUGACAGCAGGGAAACAAAAGAAAUCUUCUGGACCUCCCGUGGAGCCGAGUUUCACUUACUGAAACUGGCAAUCAUAAAGUCAACAAAAUGUGAAGCUACUAUAAAUAUCUAGUAAUCUGUAUUUGCUUCCCUUGUCUUAGACGUUUGCAUCAGGCUGCAUGAAGACAGAUGACAGACGGCCUCUUUCUAGGACUACCACCAUGAAAUGACUCUGUUAUUGUCCUUUGUGUCAGACAUGCGUUAAUUCCCCCACUGUCGCCAUUUGUCUCUCAUCCUCUUGUUCAGCCUGCAGAUAAUACGCCCUCUAGAGACAUACAAGAAAACUGCAGGAACUUUGAUUACACUACUUCUUAUAAUGAAGCCUUUAAGUCAUUAAGCCCCCCGUUCAAUUAUGAUGGCAGUGGGAGAAAACAAUAAU